UUGGGCUACUUUGAAAACGAUGUCGCGGGUGAAAAUGCAUUGGUCGCGGGUGGCGGGUUUUUGGGCUACUUUCAAUUGCACCGCAAUCGUAUUUCUUCUUAAUAUAUAUAUAUAUAUAUAUUUCACUGAGUCAGGGAGACAGAGCAGCACGUGCGUACAUCGUGAUAACUUUUUACCGUUUGUAGGUAGGCUAUUUAGAUGGGUCAUUAUGGAGACACAAUUUUUUCCAUAAAACAUUAACAAGCUAGAACUGAUAACGGCGAGAAUGCAUUUGAAAUCGACACUAGGCGCACUAGAGCACUUUAGAUACAUUCGCUCAGAGGUGGUUAAAAGUAAACUGCAUUUUUGAAGGUGAAUUUUCUUAUGGAUAACCGUAUCAGGCGAAGGGUUUUACUCAUGCUUAGUUCUAGGAAAAUUUGAAAUGGAAGUUAUGAAACUCCCUCGCGUGCUUGUGAUAUGGGGAAAUGUCCUUAAUGAAAAUCACAUUACAUGUGGGGACUGAUAGGCGACAUUUGCAUCUGAUGUCCAUCAAACGAACGCCGUUACAGGGCUGCCAGCUAGCUAUCGAGAUGGGCUGCCAGCUAGCUAUCGAGAUGGGCUGCCAGCUAGCUAUCGAGAUGGGCUGCCAGCUAGCUAUCGAGAUGGGCUGCCAGCUAGCUAUCGAGAUGGGCUGCUAGCUAGCUAUUGAGAUGGGCUGCCAGCUAGCUAUCGAGAGGGGCUGCUAGCUAGCUUCAAAGGGUGCCUGCUCGUUCACUGGGGGGGAUGCGUGUCCAUAUCCAAGUAACUAUUUUCUAAUGUAUAUUACAGUGAAUGUAUUGGAUGGUUUAUUUGUUCAACAGGAGAGUAAUGUCAUCUCAUGGUUCAGGGGGAUGCAGAACGUAUUUGGGCUGUUAUUACAGUAAUACUCUGUCAUGGUUCUAUCAUCAGACUUUUGAACUGUUUGUCUCUUGCUGAUGUGGUCAUCAUAAAAUGGAGCCGUUUGCUAUACAAGACUGGGAGACUGAAUGUUAGUGUGUUGAUGGAGGAGACUGAAAUACUGAAUGGUGUUUUGUUUCAUUGGGUAAUGUCAAUUCUAUUUUUGUUAUUUCUUGAAAUUCAAUCUAAGAAUCAUUUCAUCUUUAUGUAAACUUAUUUGAUAUGAAUAUGAAUUUAUUUAACUUUUGAUUGAUUAUGAAAACAGAGUCACUUGAUACAAUUGAAA